rnacentral:rRNA from 1 species
AAUAAGUAGGUAGCUUAACCUUCGGGAGGGCGCUUACCACUUUGUGAUUCAUGACUGGGGUGAAGUCGUAACAAGGUAACCGUAGGGGAACCUGCGGUUGGAUCACCUCCUUACCUUAAAGAAGC